UCCCACCAAUCAGAAUUAAGGGCUGCCUCAGGCCGCCGGGCCCACAGCGCUGCCCCGCUGUUCCCACUGUGACAUGUGGUGGCACAAGAAAUACGAGGAAAAUAUAAAACGAAAGGUUCCACCUAGAAUUCUCUUGCUUUUUGAAUUUGAUAUUACAGUCCAGGAACUGCUCUGUUUCUACCAAGUACGGGCCUAGCAAUAUCAAAGUAACAAAUGUUCGUUUUGUCACUGGUGUGAAACAAGGGGGAAAAUGCUAUAAGGAAAGCUAUGUUUUAGCUGAUGAGGACCCUUGGAAAAUUAAGUAGCUCCCCCUGCUGCUAAUUGUCGUAGAGCAAACGGAGCAAAGGCUGGAUCUUAAAAACGCAGUCAACGUCAUCCAGCUCUUUGAAGGCAUCUUAUGAAGACUGGUUGGUGAAUUAUGGCUUGAGUGUCUCUCCUUUUCACAUGCGAUGGCAAACAGCACUUUUCAACCGGCAGUUCUACAACUGGGGGAGGUGGAAACCCAGAUUUCUGUAUUUAUGGUUCAGCAUGGGAAUGGUGUUUGGUAUAGCUGCUAUGUUUGGCUCUGUGAUUCUUCUUGGAAAGACACUGAUGCAAAUACUGACACAGAUGCUGACUGAGGCACCAACAGCCCAGAAUGAUCGUAUGCUGCAAGUUGUGGUAAGUGUUUUCUCCUCAGGUCUUCAU